GUAAGGGAAGUUUCUCUAUGCUGUUCUGUUUACCCCAGGAUAUCCGCUCCCGGAUCCCACAGCAAGAAGGGAGUAAAGCAGGGAUGGGACAGCCAGCCCCCCCGACCCCACAGCAUUACCCUAUUACAGUACUGCUGUCAUCUCCUCCUGUAGGGCUGGGUGGCCACCAGCAGCUCUGGCUUCCAUCCAUCAGCUGGACACGGAGCCUCGGUCGGACCCCAGGAGACGGCACAGUUUCCUCCAUAAAGGAAUCAUGCUCUGCCAUAGGGGAAGGGGAGGGACUCCUGGCCUGGAGCAGCAGGGAAAGGAGGAGGAAGGAUCCUAACACAAAGUCCUGCCUCGGUUUUGCAUUGGUCGUCAUCUCUGCCGGACACGGACGGGAAAGGAAAGAAGGAAAGGCAGAGCCAGCAGCAGUGAUGGGAGAUGGGAGCCAAGGCACGGACAGAAUGUGGGCAUGGGCAGCGGUGCUGCACUUCUUCCUGGUCAAUGUGUUUGUGAUGGGAACGCUCAAAACCUUUGGCAUUUUCUUCGUGGCAUUCCAAGAGGAGGUGGGGGGAUCUUCAGAGCAGGUCAGCUGGAUCGGCUCCAUCAUGUCCUCACUGCGCUUCCUGGGAGCCCCACUGGUGGCUGUGAUCUGCAGGCGGAUCGGUGAGCGGCCGACCUCCAUCAUCGGGGCUGGGCUGGUCAGUGGGGGCUGCCUGCUCAGCACACAGGCCACCAGUGUCCCCUUCCUCUGUGUCUCCAUGGGACUCCUGUUGGGCAUGGGGUUCUGCUGCCUAUACCAGGCAGCUGCAGUGAUGACAGCUAAACGCUGCAGGACCCGGCUGGCUUUCUCCAAUGCCAUUGCCCGCUCAGGGAUGGGCCUCACCUUCCUGACUGCACCCUUCACACAGCUGCUCAUCAACACCUAUGGCUGGCAGGGUACUCUCCUGAUUCUCAGUGGCAUCAUGCUGAACCUCGUGCCUUCCAGCAUGCUGCUGCGCCCCAUCCGCACCCAGCAGCCCCCAGGAUCCCCAGCCAGCAAUGAGGACAAGAGCUCUGCACCCAAAGGAGGGGCAGGAGACCUCGAAGCCACUAAUGGAGCAGCACAGCCAUGCAGCGCUCAGGACCUUCCCAGCACAAAGUCACCUGCAGAGCCCUGCAGUGCUGACAGCUCCAAUGCAGUAACCACAGCAGCACCAAGGAAAGCCCCCACUGAAAGCUCCCCUGAAACCAGCACUGAGGCCACGAGGAGCUGCAGAUCCAUCCCAGUGCCCAAAGAGAAGCCACAGCCUCUUAUUGACUUCUCCCCUCUGAAGGAUCCCCUCUUCUGCAUUUUUACCUGGUCCUUUUUGUUCAGUCACCUGGCCUACUUCGUGCCCAUCUUCCACCUGGUAGCCAGAGCCAGGACGUUGGGCAUAAGCAGCAUGGAUGCCUCCUAUCUCAUCUCAGUGGCCGGUAUCACUGAGACGGGCAGCCAGCUGCUCUCAGGGUGGAUUGCAGACCAGAACUGGACCAAGAAGUACCAUUACCACGCAGCUUACCUGGUGCUCUGCGGUGUCACCAACCUGCUCUGCCCCCUGGCCACAACCUUCCCUCUGCUCAUGACCUACGCUGUGGCCUUCGCCAUCUUCUGCGGUGGAUUCCUGGCUCUGGUGCUCCCUGUGCUGGUAGACCUGGUCGGCGUGCAAAAGCUCCACAGCUACUUGGGCUUUGCUUCCUUCUUUGCUGGGAUAGCAGCUGUUGGCGGACCUCCUCUAGCAGGUUGGCCAAACUCUGGGUAUGGAUGCAAUUUGGAGCAGCUAAAGUGUUUCAUUGACAGCGUGUCUGACAGUGUCACAGUGAUCCAUAGGCUGUGCUGGAGAAGAUCUCUUCUGCUGAUACAAGAUGUACGUCCAGCAGAAAGCAAUACCUGCAAAACCACGGCAGUCAAUUUUCCAGAGUAACAUACGGUGUAUAAAGAGCUAAAUAAGUUGGCUCCCCUUUGUCCAUGCAUCAUGCAGUGGUUAUGCUUCCCUCUGCUUCCAAUCUAUUAUUGCUAAUUGGAAACCUUCUGCUUCCUGACGAUGCGAGGAUGGGUCUGGGUUUCAUAAAGCAAGCAGGUUUCCUGCAAGAAGCCCCGCUCACAGAUCAGCCUUUCUUCAUUCAUCCAGCUGGGUUCAAUCAAGGCCCAACAAGGCCAAGAAGUCGCACUGAUCCACCUCACUGUAAGCAGAGCGAGAGGGAAAUGAGUCACAGCUCGGGAUCCAGGUUUGUGGCACACCACAGUUUUCUGUUUGCUGUAGUUUUCUCUUCCUGUGCUCCCUACUGCAACGUUCCAACGCUGCCAUAUGAAACACGGAAACCAAUUGGGGCUACCUGCUAACUCCCUGUUUCCAACAGCAGCUGCUCCUUGCAGCACUGAAGUGCUAUGUAAGAUCCUGGGGGGGCUCAGCGCAUCCCACUGCUGCUGACCUCCCUUCAAAUGCUGACCUCAGAAGCACAGCCUGCAUCGUUUCUAUAUUAAAACCCACAACACGAGGGAGACACGGGUUAUAAAUGCUUAUUGUGCACAGCAGAGCAAAGCCUGAUCACAGUGCAGUGAAGAGGUGACUUACGUGCAAAUCUGUUUAACUGGAAGCCCUUAAGCCAAGGCUGAGGCUCCUCACAGCUGGGUGCUCCUGAACAGCAGAACAAGGCAGAACAAACAUCAUUUUGGCAAGGUGCAAGAGAGCCAAGGAAAGCUGCAUCCUAUUUCCUAUAGGGGAGAAAUUGCCACAUCCUCCCAAUGUGCUUCCCUGGGCUCUGCCCUCUGGAAAGGCACUCCUGGGCUCGAGCAAUAUCCCUGAGUGAAAGAAAAAACAACAGAGCUGAGAUCUGGCAAAGGCGUGGGAUAACUGAAAGCUGGUGAGCCCACAGGGCAGCAUGCAAGACUUCCUUUCUUCCCCCAAAGCCCACUACAGCCCUGCAAAUGCCAGCAAGGAAAGCAUGGGCAUCAUAGGCAUCUGUCCCUUUUGGUCACCCAGCCUCACACUGAGCAGCACUGCUUCCUUCCCCACUAUCCCACAGGUAACCCUGGGAACAAGGCUCUGUUGCUGCUUUUUCCUGCUCUAUCUGGAUCCCAAAGUGCUGCUGUAAAUGGUGUAAAUCCACAGAUGCCAUGCAAGGAAUUCUGCCCCAUGUGAGCAGCAGCUCUGAGCUCAGCUGGUCACUGUGCUGCUCACCCACCCCACACACCCGGAUACCUGAUUUGGGAAUAUACUGCAGGAUUUAUGACAGGCGGCAGCAGCUCCUAUUGCUUUGCAUAUCUUAGAUUCAAGCAGGAUUUAAAUGGAAGGCCCAGACAACAGAUGACACUUAAAUUCGAAGGUCCAGAAAUGAGAUGUAACCAAACCAAACACUUCAAGGUCUCUUCAAAAGGUGACCUUCCCCCCUGCAGAUUCCUGAAGCUCUGUGGAAUUCAGCUUUUCCUUUUAAGUGCCAGCAAAGCUACUAUUAAGCAGGUUUGCUCGCAGCCCCUUGUCUGGGAUCUCUCAUUUUGGACAGGUUGCUGCACUGGGUCUGCUCACAAGGCAGCACGCCUGGGGGGGAUGUGGAGAUUGCAGCACAGAUGUUGCAAAGCCAGACACACGUGCAAAGCAUCUCAUCAUCCAGCAGGACCUCACAUCUGCUGCACCAGCUACUUCUGGCCCUCACGGUUAAAAAGGAAAAGGAAAAACAUCAAGGAUUAAACGUAAUCAGAUUCAAAUCCACAUCCACUACAAAGGGCUGGCGGUGUCAAUGCUAAGAACACCCUGCAGUUUGUUUGCCUGCUGUACCAGUUGCUGGCUGCACAGGCAACAAAGGGUUAAGGGAACCUACAGCAAGUAUCUGAGGGUGGCUGUAUGACUACACGCAGACUUACGCCUGCUCGUUCCUCUUUGCUGGGGCCUGUGCUCUGCUCUCUCCUGUCUCCUUCUUCAUGGAGCCUCUGGCC